UACGGGAGGGUGCGAGCGUUAAUCGGAAUUACUGGGCGUAAAGCGUGCGUAGGUGGUGAGUUAAGUCUGUCGUGAAAGCCCCGGGCUCAACCUGGGAAUGGCGAUGGAUACUGGCUCGCUAGAGUGCGGUAGAGGAGAGUGGAAUUCCCGGUGUAGCAGUGAAAUGCGUAGAUAUCGGAAGGAACACCGGUGGCGAAAGCGGCGUGCUGGAUCCCUACUCGACGCUGAGGCACGAAAGCC
rnacentral:rRNA from 1 species